CCUGUACAGACUGCUGUCUGCCUGCUGGCUAGGUUGCUCUGACAUGGCCUUGACAUGUAGCUGGGAUUGGCCUGCAACUUUUGGUUCUCCUGCCUCCACCUUUAGGAAACUAUGAUUACAGAUAUGAGCAUUCCCUCCCAGCAGCUUGUUAGAAAUCUCUGUAAUCACAAGACAGCCAUUGAAGAGAAUCUUUUGAGACUUGCUGCAGCUAUAAAACCUCACUCAGAGUCCUUCAGAGAACCUGUAUGGCCAGGCUCUACGUUUCCUCUCCUUGAACAAAGCCCAGGAGCAUGGCUCUCUCAGCUCUGUUCUGUGGGCUUCUCCACCAAUUUUCUUGUGGUUUGACCAUGGAAGUAUGAAGAGGGACCAGACCAGUUCAGGACUUUUCAAAACUUCUUACAACUUCUAAUAAGAAAUACAUUUUAAGCUUCAUAAUCUAAUAAAUAUUUAUAUUAUUAUAA